rnacentral:rRNA from 1 species
CGUCGAGCGGCGGACGGGUGAGUAAUGCUUGGGAAUAUGCCUUAUGGUGGGGGACAACAGUUGGAAACGACUGCUAAUACCGCAUAAUGUCUACGGACCAAAGUGGGGGACCUUCGGGCCUCACGCCAUAAGAUUAGCCCAAGUGGGAUUAGCUAGUUGGUGAGGUAAUGGCUCACCAAGGCGACGAUCCCUAGCUGGUUUGAGAGGAUGAUCAGCCACACUGGGACUGAGACACGGCCCAGACUCCUACGGGAGGCAGCAGUGGGGAAUAUUGCACAAUGGGCGCAAGCCUGAUGCAGCCAUGCCGCGUGUGUGAAGAAGGCCUUCGGGUUGUAAAGCACUUUCAGUAAGGAGGAAAGGUUAAGUGUUAAUAGCACUUAGCUGUGACGUUACUUACAGAAGAAGCACCGGCUAACUCCGUGCCAGCAGCCGCGGUAAUACGGAGGGUGCGAGCGUUAAUCGGAAUUACUGGGCGUAAAGCGUACGCAGGCGGUUUGUUAAGCGAGAUGUGAAAGCCCCGGGCUCAACCUGGGAACUGCAUUUCGAACUGGCAAACUAGAGUGUGAUAGAGGGUGGUAGAAUUUCAGGUGUAGCGGUGAAAUGCGUAGAGAUCUGAAGG